GCGAGUCAGUCGGCCUGGCUUCAUUGUUUGCGUCACACCUAUGCCACGUGAUGUAAUAGUCUUUCCCCUUGAGGAACUCCAGCCCCCACAGGUUGGGGCUGAACUCCUGGAACUUGAAGGUGAACUUGACGUCCCGGUGCGGUUUGUCACAAUUGAGCAGCGGCGCGUCCUUCUUGUUGACGGAGCAGCUCUCCAUCUGACUUCGAGAAACCAGGAUGGACUCCAGGGUGACAGCCCGGCAUGAGCUCGUGAUGACGGCCAGCAGGAUGGCGGCAGCACCGUGGAUCCAUGGGAGUCUUCUCCCCCACAUCACGGGACCGAAUCCACGCGGGG